UGAACGCUGGCGGCGUGCCUAAUACAUGCAAGUCGAACGAUGAAGCUUCUAGCUUGCUAGAAGUGGAUUAGUGGCGCACGGGUGAGUAAGGUAUAGUUAAUCUGCCCUACACAAGAGGACAACAGUUGGAAACGACUGCUAAUACUCUAUACUCCUGCUUAACACAAGUUGAGUAGGGAAAGUUUUUCGGUGUAGGAUGAGACUAUAUAGUAUCAGCUAGUUGGUAAGGUAAUGGCUUACCAAGGCUAUGACGCUUAACUGGUCUGAGAGGAUGAUCAGUCACACUGGAACUGAGACACGGUCCAGACUCCUACGGGAGGCAGCAGUAGGGAAUAUUGCGCAAUGGGGGAAACCCUGACGCAGCAACGCCGCGUGGAGGAUGACACUUUUCGGAGCGUAAACUCCUUUUCUUAGGGAAGAAUUCUGACGGUACCUAAGGAAUAAGCACCGGCUAACUCUGUGCCAGCAGCCGCGGUAAUACGGAGGGUGCAAGCGUUACUCGGAAUCACUGGGCGUAAAGGGCG
rnacentral:rRNA from 1 species